rnacentral:rRNA from 1 species
UACGUAGGGUCCGAGCGUUGUCCGGAAUUACUGGGCGUAAAGAGCUCGUAGGUGGUUUGUCGCGUUGUUCGUGAAAACUCACAGCUUAACUGUGGGCGUGCGGGCGAUACGGGCAGACUGGAGUACUGCAGGGGAGACUGGAAUUCCUGGUGUAGCGGUGGAAUGCGCAGAUAUCAGGAGGAACACCGGUGGCGAAGGCGGGUCUCUGGGCAGUAACUGACGCUGAGGCGCGAAAGCGUGGGGAGCAAACAGG